AUUGAACGCUGGCGGCAGGCCUAACACAUGCAAGUCGAACGAGUGGCGGACGGGUGAGUAAUGUCUGGGAAACUGCCUGAUGGAGGGGGAUAACUACUGGAAACGGUAGCUAAUACCGCAUACCAUCCGAUGUGCCCAGAUGGGAUUAGCUAGUUGGUGGGGUAACGGCUCACCAAGGCGACGUUCCCUAGCUGGUCUGAGAGGAUGACCAGCCACUCUGAAACCGAUACACGGUCCAGACACCUACGGGAGGCAGCAGUGGGGAAUAUUGGACAAUGGGUGAAAGCCUGAUCCUGGCAUGCCGCGUGUGUGAAGAAGGGCUACGGAUUUGAAAGCACUUUAAGGUGGUAGAGGUUACCAACAGAAUAAGCACCGGAUAACUUCGUGCCGGCCGCCGCGGUAAUAC
rnacentral:rRNA from 1 species